GCGGCUGCGGGCUGGAGAAGGGGAGAAGCGGCCCCGGUGUCGGCCCCGGUGUCGGCCGGAGCUGCCCUCGUUCGCGGCCCGGAGCCGGGCACGACCCCGCGGUGCUUUUCUGAGAGGAUCUCCUCCGAGAUUAGAGCUAAAUCCUAAGAGCAACCGAAUGGCUGCGCCUGGCUUUCCCGGGACUGGGAGGAGAGCGUUGCGCCGUAUUUCUUGUAAAACACGGCCAUUCGGGAAAAUUCAAUUGGCCAAUUUCCAUUUCUCGUGCAUCACUUUCACGGCAGAGGCUGUUCCCAGGACAAGUGUGAGUGGUGAGGAGAUCGGCCCCAAAGCCCAAAGAGAAAUGAGGUGUCCGGUGUGGAAGUGCAUCUCAGUCAACAGCCAGCUCCUUUGGCCGGGGCUGGAAAUGGUUUUAACAGGCGGUAAAAUUUCAUCUUGUGGUGUCAAAUUGGGGUCAGUUUGGGGUUAGCGCUCUCAGUGUCCGAGAAGGAGCUGUCCAGCUGUGUGGGGAUUCAUUAAGGGCAAAAGAUCCGUUUCAAGAAAAACAAUACAAAGACAAUCAGAGAGCUAAAGAUCCUCUUCAAAUCGCAUUUUACAAGUGCACCAGAACAAAUAUGGACGCUGAAACCUAUUCCCUUCAAACUCCCAAAUCGGCUUCUUAGCCCUCGGAGGGAGGGAAAAUCCGCUGCAGCCCGGCCGGGUCUGCUUCCAAUCACCGCCCCGAGGUGCGCCGGGCCCCGCGCCGCCCUCGCCCGCUCCCCUCUCCCCUUCGGCGCAGCGCUGCGGAGCGAUGGCACCACAACAGGUAACAUCCCGGAAUGCGUCCCCCGGUGUGUCUGAGCCACUGCUGUGCGUGUGCCCGUGGGCGUGCAGCGGGAGCUUCCAUGCGAAUAGAAAGUUUGUUUUCGAGGGGACAGACCGUGCUUGUAUGAAACCCGCUCGCAUCCUUCGCAAAUGUCCCGCAGCCCUCUCAAGCAGCGCUGUGCUCCGAUAGAUAACGUGGAGUGGAUGUGCUGUGCGGUUCCCAGCAUCUGUGGGAAGCACCUAUUGCUAAUCUGGUUUAUUAAAUUCGCGUGGUUUAAAUCCUCUUAGCGCCCCUACAUCUGUUAGAACAAUUGACGCCUUGCUGCAGGGACAAAUAACUCCGGCCAUAAUCUCGUUUGUAACUUUAUUCAGUGUUUGUUUGUUUGUGCGCGGAGUUCGAGUAUUUGGGGGCGAUGCCAUUGUAUUCGGGAAUAUACCGUACAGCCAGAGCCGGAAUGGAUGGGCUGAGGGCAGAGCAGAGCGGAAUGAGUAAUUCCGAAUAUUGGAAGUGGCAUUUUAUCCCGAACCACCGUUCUAGGAGACGUGUCAGAGUUAAUGAAGAAAGCAAUCCACGUGUUAAUGCGUCUCCGGGCUUACAGCGUAACCGGGAUCCUGUGCAAAAUCCACGGGAUUUGUUCUUUCUGAUUCUCUCCCAAGACAACGCGUGGGGUGCAGAUAGUACCUCUGCGGUUUUGGAGUCAGGAUUAUUCCCCAGCUCAGACUCCCACCUCCGAAAUCGCCCUUUGCACCCUCUCCCCCCCUCCGUGGGCUCGACUCUUAGGGCCACUCCUGUCUCUCUCAGCCCACCUCGGCCCCCCGACCCCCCUUCCCGGGCUCCGGCGGCCGCCCGGCUCCCAGGGUAGUUCAAAAUCUAGUUUGCAUUUCUUCGAAGGAGCCCAGAACACAAAUAAAUAAAUAAAUAUAAUCCCUCUUUGCACUGUGAUACCGUAACGGAAAGGACAGCGAGGGCAAGCUUGUCAGUGUAGCGCAACAUCAGAGCAGCUGAGGAGCUCCCAACUCCGCUAGGCUCUGCUCUCGCUCACUCAGAACACUCGCUGCUGUUCCCCAGUUGCCCUUGGCACUUCAGAAGAGGACCGCUCGCGUUUGACGCCGGAGCUCUCCGUCCGGGAGAGAACAAUGUGCUCCCACCGCCUCUGGAGCUCUGCGGCUGCCCCCGCACACGCGGUGGCUCCGGCGCGGAGCGCCCCGCUCGGAAGGAGCCGCUCGGGCCAUUGUCUGAAGUGGGUUUCAGCCCAUGGAGAAAAGGGGGAAAAAAUCUCAGCAGCCCGGCUUGGUGUUGCACGGGGAAUGAGCUGACAAAAUAUUAUAGUAUGUUUCCUCGAAAUGCGUGCUGAGAGGAGAGAACUGUGGUGUGCUCCUGAGAGAGAGGUGGUGGUGUUCUUUUUCCUUCUUUCCUUCUUUCUUUCUUCUUCUUCUUCUUCUUUCUUUCUUUCUUUCUCUUUCUUUCUUUCUUUCUUUCUUUCUCUCUUUCUUUCUUUCUUUCUUUCUUUCUUUCUUUCUUUCUUUCUUUCUUUCUUUCUUUCUUUCUUUCUUUCUUUCUUUCUUUCUUUCUUUCUUUCUUUCUUUCUUUCUUUCUUUCUUUCCCUCUUUCCCUCUUUCCCUCUUUCCCUCUUUCCCUCUUUCCCUCUUUCCCUCUUUCCCUCUUUCCCUCUUUCCCUCUUUCCUUCUUCUUUUCUUCUUAGAAGAUUGGGAUCGCCUUUGUAAGCCUUUCUUUUGAUCCCACAAAGAGAAUGCAAUAUGCAUAUAUGUAUUUGCUCUCCAUACAAACAACGCGAGAGACUGUACGACGGGAUAUACGGCCGGUUGGUCCUCAUAAUGCUUAGUUUUGCUGUAAUUAAUUGAAAACAGUUAUUAGGUCGUCAUUGGCAAUAGCGUAAAUAAUUGCAGCAGAUUUUUACUUAAAAUUGACCGGUCACGGAGUGAUAGAUCGAUUCGAGGUAUAAAAAUGAUGUAUCAAAACAUCAAUGUCGAUUAUUUGAAAUAUUGUAGUCGAAUCUUUUUAUUGCUUCAUCGGUUAAGUGUCUGAAAGUGCUGUGUUCCAACAUAUAUUUAUGUUGUCAAUACUGUCAAAACUGUCAGUUUUAUUACACCGGAUUUGUAAUACAUUUCGGAUUUGCUCAUUUACAUAAAAUGGCCACCCCGGGUACCCCCCCUUCUCCCCUCUCUGGAAAUCUCUGUCAAUGCUGAAAGGAUCCGGGACUCACAGCUGAGGCAAAAGAAGUAGAAGUAUGGCUCCAUUAAGUCCAAUUCGAACGUCCCUCUGGAAAGCUCGGGUUAUUUCUAACUUGCCAUCAGAGGGAAUCCUCCCACCCCUUUACCUCCCCAGUAAGAUUUAAACACUUUUCUUCUCUCACACCUCGCUUAAACCCUUUAGGAGCGCCGAGAACCUGCACGGAGAGAACGGCGAGCCGGAGCCCACCUGGGAGCCCGGAGCCCUCCGAGCAGAGCGGCCCCGACCCGCCCGCGUAGGGCCGGGUGCGGGCAGCAGCGGGGAACAAAGGGAGCGAUGACCGUAGGGGAUCCUUCCUUAGCGGGUCGGAGCCCGAAGGAACGCGGAGUGGGAGCAGAGGGGCGUUCCGCGCCCCCUGUCCCGCAGCCCCCAUGCAGCGGGGUCUGAACUGGUGGUUCUCUUUAGCCGUGAGCCCUGAGUUGGUGUUAGCCCGGUGCCAGGCACCCCUCGCUCACGCUCCCCCCGCGCCCAGCCGGGAAGCGGCCAAGCUCAGCAAUAAAUCAAUCCGCUGCCACAUCGCUCCCUUCGAUCGAGCAAACACUGCGAUCCAGCCCGGUCACUUCUCCUCCCACCCCACCCGCUCUGAGGCUGACGCUGCUUCACGGGCUGGGGAGACGGACCCGAGGGAGAUGUAUGCUUAAAGAGCCGCUGGAGCGAGCCCCGAGUUCCCGGGGGAGAAGGAAGGUUGGCCCGUGGAGAGGCAGCCGGCAGCAAAGCAGCCGGUACUUCUCCACGGCGUUUUCACGUCCGAAGAGUUUGCGGCGGGGUUUCCCGGCUCCCUGGGGAGGCUCCGAGGGAUGCAGCGGGCAGCGGAGAGCCGCGCCUCGGCGGGAGGCUUAGCGCAAGGGGACACGCUCAGGGAGCCGCGGUGACAUCCAGCAGCCCCUUGAGUUUCACAUGUUUUUCCAAUCGCUCAACCCCAAAUAUAUGGUGUCCCCCUCCCUCCCCCCUCCUCUUUCCUAGGAAUGCGCGUAAUAAAACCUAAUCGCCCGGGACUCUCCUCCUUUCUGCAUCUGCCGGACAAGAAACCGUGGGGGGACGAGGUCCUCCCGGCUCUGAAGCCGAGCUGCUAUGGGACGCCCGGCGGCCUCGGCCACGUCUGCACGUGGAAAACCUCGAAUGAGACUUUUGCGCUACAUUAACUGUCCCUCUGCCGUCCGGGGCUCCCUCUCCAGCAGCCGCCUUCUUCGUCUCCUGCAGCCAUCUCCGAAGCGGAGGUCGGGACGCUCACCCCAGGAGCGCAGCCCGGACCACGACAAAGUGGUCCAUGGUUCUUUGGUAUGUUGUUAUUCCCUGAAAGGUUGAGCAGGAUGAGUCACAGCAACACUGAGAGAAUGGAGGAUCCAGUUCUCACAGGACAGAAUGGUCCCACAGGAUCCAUGAAGGGGAAGAAGAGGGACAGUGUGCAGGCUAAGCAAUUUCUCAGACAUCAGCAGGUUUUUCACGUCAGAAUAAAAUAAUCUGGGUGUCUGCAGGUGCAGUGAAUUAGAUGGAAUAUUAUCCCUGCCUUGGAUUAAAGGGCAGAAACACUCUUAGUUCCAAACAACAAAUCCUAUAACUGAAAUGUAUGCCUAACCACCUCGCUGUGUUUACGUACUUCCACUCACCACAUUUUUCCCCAUCGAAGUUAGUUAAUAAAGUCAAAGAGUGAAACACAUCUGGGCUGUAUCACGACUGACUUUAAUGCUGAUAACUUAGGGAGGAAAUUGUGCUGUGGUGUGUGACUACAGAACGAACGUCCAAAGGUCCAACGUCCAAAGGUCCUACGUCCAAACAAAGACACUAAGACAUUGUAGAUGUGAGAUUGUAAACCUCACUGAUCAGAAGGGCUGCCAAUCAGCCCAUAGGUCUCACCUAGAGAGGAAACAAAAGUUCGGAGAAAAUCACCUCAAGGCAGUGAAUCUCUGCAGACAAUGUUUUCAAAACUGACAGCCUCCAGUAUCCUCAGGCCCAAGUUCCAUUGCCUGAAAACCACCUGAAUGGAGGAUGCAGGGCUCUGCAGGCUGAGUUUGAAAGAUGCCAACUGUCCCUGUGCACUCAGCCUUCCUGCUCCUCCUGAUGGAACAUGUGGAUAAGCACCAGCCUUGAAGUAAGCCCUCAGCACAGGAAGCAUCAAUUCUUUAAUUCAUACUUCAGGGAUUUGCAGCCAGGGUUUUCAUUUGACACAUCUAGAUAUUUCUCAUGUUAUAGUGGUACAUUCUUCCUCAAAGUGUUUUUCAAAAUCAGCAGGCUUUUCAGGGAUGAAACAUGAUUGUGCACUAAUAUAUUCCAUUUUUAAAGUAUGUGCUAAUUAUCAAAUCAGUCUUAUACUACUUCAUAUACAUUUAUAGACAAUCACUAAUAGUGUCAUUGAUCUGCAAAUAAAUAGAUUUAGCAGAAGCUUUCCUUUGAUGUAGAUAAAUGUAAACAACAAUGAAAAAAAAUAGCGUACAAGUGGUUGUCCUGUUCUCUUACCUUAAGGCUAUAUUACGAUCACAAUCAGACAUAUCUAGGCAUGUGUCACACCGGAUAAUGCUAUUUCUUGGGCGUUUGAGGGCAGAUGACUUUACCUUGGACUUCACAAAAGCUGAGACAUGCCAUUUAAAAGCAUGAAUCUGGCAUUACUGAAAACCCUCGCGUAUCAUACUCACGUAUAUCAUUGUUAACCUACAUAUGAGAUGUUUUUAAAAAUCGCUUCACAUUUAAUACUGAAGUCAUUUUACUUCUAUUAUUCAUGUGAAGAGCUAAAAAUAAACAUCCAAAAUAUUUUUCUCUUUUAUGGAACAGCUGAUAAAAGCCUUCAUUUGAAGUGAACUCUUGGAUGAAUGCAGCCUUAUUUUCUGGGCUCAGAUCUCUUGUACCCAGUUGGGAACCCCACAUCAGAUCUGGGAAGUACGUUGAAUCUUCAGAGGAAAGGGGCUCUAUACCUCAUAAUAUUCAUUAGGAAUAUCUUAGGCAAACAGUUUCCAGCCUAAAACUCACCCAUGAUGUGCUCAUUUGGGCUUUUUAUUUUGUUAUUCUCGAUGUGUCACUGGUCACCUAUUACACUUGGUCUACUUCCCAAUAGGUUGAAUGGAAUUAUUUUAACAAGAGACAACAAAUAAUAAAAGUGCAUAACCCAUUUGCCUGUCUGUGUAUGCAUGCUUUUUUUUGGUGCAGUUAUUCAUAGAAAGCCUGAUUCUGACUCCACUGCAUUUGAUAAAGCAGGAUUUGAUCCAUAAAGAAAAUAGAUUUACCUAACGCUUGUUAAGGGAAAAUCCUCCUUGCUUUAAUUUUCAGUUGUAUGGCCACAAACAUGAUCCGAACAAGACCCAUCUGAAACCCCUAGGGCUUCUUUGUGAGUAGAGUUGCAAUAGCAGCCCAGGAAAACAACCAGUUUUGUUGCUACAGGUUAAUUUCAGCUUUCAAACAUUAUUGGAAAUAAUCAAUCGCCUUUCUUCCCCUCCCCCAGCUGAACCUUGGAUUGCUUCCUCUGACAAAUGGCUCUGGGCACUGAAGUAAGAGCAUACUGUUUGAUUCAAAAGAAUUUUUUUUUUUUCUGUUGUUUCCAGACUUCAUUCACUGAAGAAGGUCCAGUCUGCACCCAAUACAUUCAUGGUAACUGUUCCCAAAAUAAACAUCAAGCAAGAUUCUUAGUAGUUGAGAGAGGCAAUUGUUCAAUUAUAUAAUCCCCCACAAAUGGGAAUAAAUCAAUAUAAAGAUCUAGGCCCCGCUUUCCUUGAGCAUCUAGCAGUUCAAC
ensembl:lncRNA